AUCCCAGUGAAAAUGCCCCCCGCCCCCCGUCCGGAAAUAGGGAGUUGGUAUCAGGCACACAAAUUUGUAGCCCAUGACACCUAGCUUUGCCACGCCCCCAAGGGAAUUCAGCAGUGAUAAACAUUAAGCCAUAAGUGAAAACUUGACUUAGUCAUGAUCUAAAGAGUCGGUAAAACUCGUGCCAGCCACCGCGGUUAUACGAGAGACCCAAGUUGUUAGCCAACGGCGUAAAGGGUGGUUAGAACUAUAAACAACAAACUGAGACCGAACACCUUCAAGGCUGUUAUACGCUUCCGAAGCAACGAAGAACAAUAACGAAAGUAGCCUCACUAACUCGAACCCACGAAAGCUAGGACACAAACUGGGAUUAGAUACCCCACUAUGCCUACCCCUAAACACGAUAUGAAACUACGUACAUAUCCGCCUGGUUACUACGAGCAUUAGCUUAAAACCCAAAGGACUUGGCGGUGCUUUAAAACCAUCUAGAGGAGCCUGUUUUAAAACCGAUACUCCCCGUUCAACCUCACCCCUCCUUGUUUUAACC
rnacentral:rRNA from 1 species